UGAAGCAGUGUGUCGGUGAGCUUCAUGCAAGUUGUUGCAUGAUUUAAUGCUCAGAAGGACAUUUUUAUGAAGAUACCUGUAGAACCUUAAAGAAAAAAUAGCACAUGUUGGAGGGAUUGUUAAGCCAAAGAAGUCACUGAUCCUAAACCAUUUUGGGAGAAGCAGUAAAAGCAACAGUAUGAAUAAGAUUUUUAAAGUUUUGAUGGGAUAAUCUUCUGACUGCUUCUUGCCUUUUGACAGAACAGAUUAGUUACCAUCUCAUAACAUGGGAGUCUGCAGAUUACACUUUCAAAAUGUAAAAACUUUAAGGAUGUUAUAUGAGCCACAAGAGGAACCUCCGUGGUAACCUUUCGAAGGAUACAAAGCUCAACAAGGAGGAUGGAUAGCUUUGAAAACUGGAGAUGCUGGAAGUCAAUCUGAAACAGCUCAGGAUCACAAGAUAGUAUUGGACAGAAAUAUCAGCUUCUGAAACUCCAAUCUCAUCUUUCUACAAUAAAAAAAAUGGAUGCUACAUGUCUUCAACAAGCAUUGGGAUGUUAUAUAUGAGUAUAGAAUAUUAU